GAGAAAGAGUGGAACACAUGACGACAUGACGUACGGGCACGUACAGAGGCACACGAGGACAACGAGAGAGUUCACUGCUGCUUCCUUCAGCUUGCUUCCUGCUCUAUUCACGCAGCACUGCUUUGUCAGUUGAGAGACAAUAAUAAUUUUCUAGUAAAAAUAAUAAUUGUCAAUGGAUAUGACUUUGACGAAGAGAAAAUUGUUAGUUUUUUUUGUUAUUCGAACAACAACACAACGCAGACAACUUUAGCUAACUUUUCGUUUAUUUAUUUUAAUUUUUAAACAUUACACGUUGUUUUUGGUGAAUGUACACCGUAGCAAGGAGCACAGACAUAGUACACGGACAAGUACACGGCUAAAACAAAUGGACGACAUAAAGUAACAUAUAAAUUAUUCUGCAAUCAUUUUAAUUUCUGAUUAAAAUAUCAGAAUAGCUUUGAAUUUUAAAUAUAAUGCUACACACACUAUGACAUAGCGUGUGUUGGAGGGACUCCAUGUGUCUGCUGUUUUCAUAGCAGGCCGGUGGCAAAAUCAGAGGACAUCAUGAAGGUUCACCAGCAACUCCUUCAGCAGGGGCCUUCAGCAGAGCACACCCAGAGCUUCUCUCUGCUCCGCCUGGACCCCGCUGGGAGCCAACUCCCACGCCACGCUGAUGGAGACCCAGGGCGUACUGCUGAACCUGCUGGAGGGAAGGGAGGCACGGAAGAACCAGAACCAGGACUGAUAGGGGCAGACUGUCAGACCCUGCUACAGUAAAAUGAGAGGUUUUCCUUAAUGGACUCUGGUGCUCUGUAUCAAUACUUCUUUGUCCACAGGGACCACAAAAUAAACACAACAUGAACAUUC